CUUCUGUGUUGAUCGGCUCACCCACUGCAGACACAAACACCAUCAGUUAUGUCUUUAUACGACGUCACGCAGGAUUAGUGCGGAGUCAUUUUAAUCUCAUGUAUUUGUAGAUUUUCUCUGGAUGUACAAAACAACUGCUUUGCUGACAAGAAGAUAGACUUGGGGGGGGAAAAUAAUAAUCGGUUCAUAGGUUUUUAAUAAUUACAGGCUGAUGAUUAACAGUUGCAGGGUACUGAAGGAGAGCAAAAAAAUCCAAAACGAAGCCAAAAAGCUUUUAUCCACAACCCAUAGUGACUCCAAGUUAGCAAUAAUAUAAGUAUAACUGUGUGGCUGAUGCUAGAAAACUAGUAGUGUGCAGUAGAAACAGCGAAACCCUCCGAAGAAAUGUGAAGGUGAACCUAUGUUCCCUGCAGUUGUUUUGCGUUUGCCGUCAUGCAUUCUUGUCCAGUGCAACUCUGACUGUGAAAAACACCUAAUUUUUUUUUGUUUUUACACAUAAACACAGAAAACUGGAACAAAGGUGAAAGUCAUUCAGGUCGAGGCUUCGUUUCUUUCUCGGCUCUCUGCCAACCCCAGUUUGGUUUUCAGUAAACCUCAACCCUGCAUCAGCCUCUGUUUGUUCUUUCAGGGCAAUUUGCAGCCUGACUGCUGAGGAAAGAAGGACGUCAUGUGAUUUUCCACUCUGUGCUUGACAGCAGUCAUCGUGCUAAAAGUGUUGUAAUAAAUACACAAUACAUGUUGACUUUUUUGUUAUUAUUAACAGAGCAGUUGAAUGCAAACAAAACAAAUCCUGUUUGCAUUUCAGAAGCUGAGAAUCCGUGAUGUUUCAUAAAUUAAACACAUUUACUAAAGUGCAGGCAGAUUUUUAAAAAAUAAGACUUGCUACAGUCCAACCUAAAGAA